rnacentral:lncRNA from 1 species
CCUCGUCCACCUCGUCCUCACUACCAGUCGUCUUAUGAAGCUCCUGAUCAACCGAAACCAACACCGCUGCCUCCGGCUCGUAUAACGCUAUCUCCUCAGAGCCAUGAUCGUCAACCCUCUUGGAAUCCAGAACUGGGUUACUGCCAGCCAUCUCAUGGCCUUCAUUAUGGAAAUCAUGCUGCUGCACCCCCGUCGCCAAAUGGCCAAAACCAGAAGUGUUCUGCUGUUCCCCCGUUGUUUGCACGAUUGGGACAACAACCUUCUUGCCCUGCUCCACAAUGUGCCAUUGUUUAUGAGUCACCACACCAGACUGAUUGUUAGGAGCAGCCGUCAGAUUUUCCUGAAUAGCUACCGGCUCCACACGUCGCUUUUUCGAC